AUUGAACGCUGGCGGCAGGCUUAACACAUGCAAGUCGAGCGGAAACGAUGGUAGCUUGCUACCAGGCGUCGAGCGGCGGACGGGUGAGUAAUACUUAGGAAUCUACCUAGUAGUGGGGGAUAGCUCGGGGAAACUCGAAUUAAUACCGCAUACGACCUACGGGAGAAAGGGGGCAGUUUACUGCUCUCGCUAUUAGAUGAGCCUAAGUCGGAUUAGCUAGAUGGUGGGGUAAAGGCCUACCAUGGCGACGAUCUGUAGCUGGUCUGAGAGGAUGAUCAGCCACACCGGGACUGAGACACGGCCCGGACUCCUACGGGAGGCAGCAGUGGGGAAUAUUGGACAAUGGGGGCAACCCUGAUCCAGCCAUGCCGCGUGUGUGAAGAAGGCCUUUUGGUUGUAAAGCACUUUAAGCAGUGAAGAAGACUCCAUGGUUAAUACCCAUGGACGAUGACAUUAGCUGCAGAAUAAGCACCGGCUAACUCUGUGCCAGCAGCCGCGGUAAUACAGAGGGUGCAAGCGUUAAUCGGAAUUACUGGGCGUAAAGCGAGCGUAGGUGGCUUGAUAAGUCAGAUGUGAAAUCCCCGGGCUUAACCUGGGAACUGCAUCUGAUACUGUUAGGCUAGAAUAGGUGAGAGGAAGGUAGAAUUCCAGGUGUAGCGGUGAAAUGCGUAGAGAUCUGGAGGAAUACCGAUGGCGAAGGCAGCCUUCUGGCAUCAUAUUGACACUGAGGUUCGAAAGCGUGGGUAGCAAACAGG
rnacentral:rRNA from 1 species